rnacentral:rRNA from 1 species
UACGAAGGGGGCUAGCGUUGUUCGGAAUUACUGGGCGUAAAGCGCACGUAGGCGGAUAUUUAAGUCAGGGGUGAAAUCCCAGAGCUCAACUCUGGAACUGCCUUUGAUACUGGGUAUCUCGAGUAUGGAAGAGGUGAGUGGAAUUCCGAGUGUAGAGGUGAAAUUCGUAGAUAUUCGGAGGAACACCAGUGGCGAAGGCGGCUCACUGGUCCAUUACUGACGCUGAGUUGCGAAAGCGUGGGGAGCAAACAGG